AAGAUUUUAAAGGUCGAACAGACCCAAUUAACUUUAAACCCUUCUCCAAAAAUAAAUCUUAAUUCAACAUCGAGGUCGCAAACUUACAUAUCAAUAAGAACUCUCCAUGUAAAUAACG
rnacentral:rRNA from 1 species